GUUGGCAUGACACGGGUUAUGUUCUUCUCAUAUAUGUUAUGAUGGUAUGAUACUAAACCCCUAACGGGAAGGAUUGUGCCUGAUGUUCAUAUGAUGAAAUCAUAAUCUUUCAGUCAGUUUAAUUGAAGUCUGGAGCUGGCAUGUCAGUUAACUUGCUAGUAGUCUGUUGUUAUUUAUGUAUUAUUGUCAUUUUGUUUAUUUUCUUUGGUUACAUCUUCUGACAUCAAACUCGCAC
rnacentral:lncRNA from 1 species